rnacentral:rRNA from 1 species
AGCUGGUAGAAAUAUCAGAUAAUACCGGAUACGCUGCAUGUUGUCAGAGGACAUGCAGGAAAGGUCUUUUGAACCGCACAGAGAGCGGCCCGCGUACUAUUAGCUGGUUGGUGAGGUAACGGCCCACCAAGGCGACGAUAGUUACCCGGCCUAAGAGGGUGAUCGGGCACAUUGGGACUGAGAUACGGCCCAGACUCCUACGGGAGGCAGCAGCUAAGAAUAUUCCGCAAUGGACGAAAGUCUGACGGAGCGACGCCGCGUGGAUGAUGAAGGCCGGAAGGUUGUAAAAUCCUUUUAUGACUGAGGAAUAAGCAGGGUGAGAGAAACGCCUUGUGGUGACUGUAGGUCAUGAAUAAGCAACGGCUAAUUACGUGCC